rnacentral:lncRNA from 1 species
AAAGUGAAAUGAUACCCCCAGCUAUAAAGAGAAAUACCCCAUGAAUGUUCCAGCUAUGAUGGAGAGAGUUCAAAAGUUUACCUCCAAGCAAAUCAAUUUCCAUGGUUGGAAAGAACGUCUUAGAAUUGGAGGACAUUCCAACUUCAUACCAGAAACCUGAAAACUGAAAGGAAUCACUCAUGUGGAAGAAGCCUAUUUGUUUAACCUGGAAAAUUCAGGGAAGACAACUCUGCAGUUCACAGCCUUUAACAUAGUAAAGAUCCCUAAGAGAGCACAUAGUAGGACAGACUUCAUUCUCUCUGGUGCCUGCUCUGAGCAGCCUCCGGAACCAAUGAUAUCUGAAAGAAUCAAGAGUCAAGGCUACCUUGCAGUACCUGGAUUUAUAUUCUUCUGCAUGAGAUUGUUAUGCAAUAACUGUGAAAAGCUCAUUAAGCAAAUCUUGGCUACAAGAUAACACUU